rnacentral:rRNA from 1 species
AGUGAACGCUGGCGGCAGGCCUAACACAUGCAAGUCGAGCGGCAGCGCGGGGGCAACCCUGGCGGCGAGCGGCGGACGGGUGAGGAAUUCGUCGGAAUCUGCCUUUUUGUGGGGGAUAACGUAGGGAAACUUACGCUAAUACCGCAUACGUCCUACGGGAGAACGUGGGGGACCGCAAGGCCUCACGCAGAAAGAUGAGCCGACGACCGAUUAGCUAGUUGGUGGGGUAAAGGCCCACCAAGGCGACGAUCGGUAGCUGGUCUGAGAGGAUGAUCAGCCACACUGGGACUGAGACACGGCCCAGACUCCUACGGGAGGCAGCAGUGGGGAAUAUUGGACAAUGGGCGCAAGCCUGAUCCAGCCAUGCCGCGUGUGUGAAGAAGGCCUUCGGGUUGUAAAGCACUUUUGUCCGGAAAGAAAUCCCUGGAGCUAAUACCUUCGGGGGAUGACGGUACCGGAAGAAUAAGCACCGGCUAACUUCGUG